ensembl:lncRNA
GGGCCAUUAGCUUUGGGAGGAGAACGUAAGCUUUCCAAGGGCAAGAGCCACAUCUGAUACUUCUUGGCAGGCAGCUCCUGAUGCCCGGGCACUUGGAUGGUAGACACUAACACCCGAAUGUUCUCUGAUGACCCAAGUUCACCCCGGGCUGUUCUCUUGCAGGAGAUGGUAUUCCUGACCCUCUAUCUGCAGGGCUUCAACACUAGAUAGCCUCAGUUUCCUUAUCUGUAAAAGGCACCCAGCAUUUCCUCCCCUUUAGGUAUCAGUCAGUUCAGUUCAGUUCAGUCGCUCAGUCAUGUCCGACUCUUUGCGACCCCAUGAAUCACAGCACGCCAGGCCUCCCUGUCCAUCACCAACUCCUGGAGUUCACCCAGACUCACGUCCAUCGAGUCAGUGAUGCCAUCCAG